CUCGGCAAGCUGGAACAGUGGUUUUGUGGGCAUGACUGAAAGCCUUUAAAGGCGCAAAGGCCAUGUCUUGCCUCUGAUUUAUUACUUCCUGAAUGGGUAUUAUAGAAUGAUCCCUUCUGCUCCCAACCUGUGCUGCUAGAAGGAGGUAGGAGGGAACAAAGACAUAGCCUCAUAUUUCAUUCAGGAAAUGAGACUGAGUACAACAAACACAAAUCAUUGAGACUGACAGAGCAUAUUGGGUUCAAAACCCAACCCCUGACUCUAAUUGCUCUCCAAAGGCCCCUGGCUCAAGGCUCUCAGCCCACCCAUCCUUCCCAAUCUUUCAUUUUUGGUCUCCAAUGGACACCAUAGUUCUGUGGACCAGAGUACAGGCAUUGGAACAAGCUCACUCUGACAUUUUCGACUGCUUGAGAGAUCUGAACUGCUCUCCCCAGGGACCUCAAUUAUAAAAGAGAGCAUCAUCCAACUAAAUGUGAUCAACACUGUACCAGUGGAAAUUCCAUGCACCACAUCUGGUCAAAGGCAAUUAAGAGAAGAUGUGAGUUCUUCAUAAACCCGACUCACCACCAGAAAGUCAUGAUUGAUAUGACAGCACCACACGAUGGCUCAUCCUGGAACUCUGUGUAACAAUGUAGGGUAGGAUUCCAUCAUUCACAUUAGACACAGAAGGUGAAAAAGAAGCAGCUCUGCUAUAUAAAUCAUUUAGAUUAGGAGGUUACUUUGUCACUGGAGGAAACCUACCUUCCUAUUUACCUAUGAAUCUAGGUAGGUGGAUACAUAGAAUUCUUUUAUCUAGAUAUAUUUAUUAUUUGAACUUAUUUAAAUAUAAACCACAUCUUCAGUUAUAUGUUGGAUAUAU